rnacentral:rRNA from 1 species
GAGUUUGAUCAUGGCUCAGGAUGAACGCUAGCGACAGGCUUAACACAUGCAAGUCGAGGGGCAGCGGUGGUGAAGGCUUGCCUUUACCAGCCGGCGACCGGCGCACGGGUGAGUAACACGUAUGCAACCUGCCUGCCACAGCCGGAUAAUCGGGAGAAAUUCCGUCUAAUACGGCAUAAUGCAUCGACGGGACAUCCUGUUGGUGCCAAAGGUUAAUUCCGGUGGCGGAUGGGCAUGCGUCGCAUUAGUUAGUUGGCGGUGUAACGGACCACCAAGACGACGAUGCGUAGGGGUUCUGAGAGGAAGGUCCCCCACACUGGUACUGAGACACGGACCAGACUCCUACGGGAGGCAGCAGUGAGGAAUAUUGGUCAAUGGGCGGGAGCCUGAACCAGCCAAGUCGCGUGAGGGAUGACGGCCCUAUGGGUUGUAAACCUCUUUUGCCGGGGAGCAAAGUGCCGCACGUGUGCGGUUUGGAGAGUACCCGGAGAAAAAGCAUCGGCUAACUCCGUGCCAGCAGCCGCGGUAAUACGGAGGAUGCGAGCGUUAUCCGGAUUUAUUGGGUUUAAAGGGUGCGUAGGCGGACGCUUAAGUCAGCGGUAAAAUUGCAGGGCUCAACCUCGUCGAGCCGUUGAAACUGGGUGCCUUGAGUGGGCGAGAAGUACGCGGAAUGCGUGGUGUAGCGGUGAAAUGCAUAGAUAUCACGCAGAACUCCGAUUGCGAAGGCAGCGUACCGGCGCCCAACUGACGCUGAAGCACGAAGGCGUGGGUAUCGAACAGGAUUAGAUACCCUGGUAGUCCACGCGGUAAACGAUGAAUGCUAGUUGUCCGGGGCGAUUGAGUUCUGGGUGACACAGCGAAAGCGUUAAGCAUUCCACCUGGGGAGUACGCCGGCAACGGUGAAACUCAAAGGAAUUGACGG